rnacentral:rRNA from 1 species
AAGUCGUACGGUAAGGCCCCUUCGGGGGUACACGAGUGGCGCACGGGUGAGUAACGCGUGGGUAAUCUGCCCUCUCGUCUGGGACAACUCCGGGAAACUGGAGCUAAUACCGGAUGAGCCCACAGGGUCUGCGGACCCAGCGGGAAAAGAUGGCCUCUUCACGAAAGCUAUCGCGAGGGGAUGAGCCCGCGUCCCAUUAGCUCGUUGGUGGGGUAACGGCCUACCAAGGCUACGAUGGGUAGCUGGUCUGAGAGGAUGACCAGCCACACUGGAACUGAGACACGGUCCAGACUCCUACGGGAGGCAGCAGUCGGGAAUUUUGGGCAAUGGGCGCAAGCCUGACCCAGCAACGCCGCGUGAGGGAUGAAGGCCCUCGGGUCGUAAACCUCUGUCGGGAGGGAAGAACGUCCGCCGGGUGAACAAUCCGGCGGGCUGACGGUACCUCCAAAGGAAGCACCGGCUAACUCCGUGCCAGCAGCCGCGGUAAUACGGAGGGUGCAAGCGUUGUUCGGAAUCAUUGGGCGUAAAGCGCGUGUAGGCGGCUUGGUAAGUCGGGUGUGAAAUCCCGGGGCUCAACCCCGGAACUGCAUUCGAAACUGCCUCGCUCGAGUCCCGGAGAGGAAGGCGGAAUUCCCGGUGUAGAGGUGAAAUUCGUA